ACGAAAAAUUCGCAAAAAGUUUGGCAAAAUUGGCUGUGAACUUCGUUCCGAACGAAGGCAGAAGAAAAAAGACGGGAUAUAGUUUCAUGUCUCGCUGUUUUUUUCUGGGUCAGGGCAAGAAUUAGGGUCAGUAUGAAUAAAAAUCGAGUAAGCGAGACAUGGAAAGACACGUUCAGCAACCACCAUUGACGUCCAACUCUGUAUGCGCAAGAUAAUGUGCAGACGGCAAAAAUUGGCAAGUACGCCUUCGUCUUCGUACUUCGUUCUCUUGCUCAAAUUCUCUAUUGACAAUUCUGCGAUGGGUCUCCCCCCCCCCCCUCCGCUCCGGCCACGGCGCCACUGCCGAGCCCGCAUUAAAAAUUCACUUGUAAAAAAACCAGAUUGGUUUAAACUUUAUCUAACCCUCAUAUAAUACAUAUUGAAAUAAUUAGGGUUAGAAAAGGUAUGUGUUUCAAGCUGUGUGCCGUAAAUAAGCGAACAAGUGAUUUAAGGUUUCACACCGAUGCCCAGCAAAGCAUAUAUUCUACAGAAUUUUUGCAUUAUUGACAGCAUGAAGCUAUAUAAUCAAGGAUUCCCUUUUUUAUACAAUACAUUUUGCCAGGGGCGACCUUAUUUUGCCGGGGGGGCGGCCCCAGCCCUGGCUACGCCUCUGCGUGAAAAUUUUACUUUCCUCAACCUGAGGCGUGAUUACCGUUAAAUUUUAAACGGGAAAUAAAAAUAUAUUUGAAACCAUGAGUAUAGAAAAAAUAUUUGCAGUGUAGUAAGAAUUAGUGAGAAAGUGAAGAAGAGCAAUGCGGCGGAUGUAACAUUUUUACUGCAUGCGUGUAUUAUGUUUUCUUGAUAUUUACUAGAUAUAUCAGUUCGCUUGAUUUUUUCAACUUAGCUUUCAGUGCUGAGAAGCUAUCAGAAACGUAAAAAUAU